CCUACGGGAGGCAGCAGUGAGGAAUAUUGGUCAAUGGGCGUAAGCCUGAACCAGCCAAGUCGCGUGAGGGAUGAAGGUUCUCUGGAUCGUAAACCUCUUUUAUAAGGGAGUAAAGUGUGGGACGUGUCCUAUUUUGUAUGUACCUUAUGAAUAAGGAUCGGCUAACUCCGUUCCAGCAGCCGCGGUAAUACGGAGGAUCCGAGCGGUAUCCGGAUUUAUUGGGUUUAAAGGGUGCGUAGGCUGGCUUUUAAGUCAGCUGUGAAGGUCUGUGGCUCAACCAUAGAAUUGCCGUUGAAACUGGGGGGCUUGAGUAUGUUUGAGGCAGGCGGAAUGCGUGGUGUAGCGGUGAAAUGCGUAGAUAUAACGCAGAACCCCGAUUGCGAAGGCAGCCUGCCAAGCCAUGACUGACGCUGAUGCACGAAAGCGUGGGGAUCAAACAGGAUUAGAUACCCCAGUAGUC
rnacentral:rRNA from 1 species